UGAGGACACCAGGACCCCUCCAUGGGGACACCAGGAACCCCCUUAUACAGCCAAGGUGGCUUUGGUUACACCAGGACCCACCCCCCAGGGGACACCAGGACCCCCUUAUAUGGCCGUGGUGGCUUUGGAUACACCAGGACCCCCCCAGGGCACACCAGGACCCCUUUAUAUUGCCAUGGUGGCUUUGGGGACACCAGGACCCCGCCAUGGGGACACCAGGACCCCCUUAUAUGGCCGUGGUGGCUUUGGGGACACCAGGACCCCUCCAUGGAGACACCAGGACCCCCUUAUAUGGCCUUGGUGGCUUUGGGGACAGCAGGACCCCCCCAGGGCACACCAGGACCCCCUUAUAUGGCCGACCCCCCCAUGGGGACAGCAGGACCCCUUGGUGUGGUUGUGGUGGCUGUGGGGACAGCAGGACCCCCCCACCCGUUGUCCCCAUGCCGCCCCUGUGCCCGGUGGGGGCCCAAACCCCGUCCCCGUGUGGGUGAAACCACCGCGGGGCGCUUUCACUUUCACUUUGGUGGUGGGCGGGUGCAGGUGGGGAAGGUUCCACUUCCGGGUUGGCGUCAGGUAGGAGCGGGAAAGGUUCCACUUCCGGGUUGGCGACAGGUAGGAGCGGGAAAGGUUCCACUUCCGGGUUGGCGACAGGUAGGAGCGGGCGGGGAAGGCUGCACUUCCGGUUUGGCGGCAGGUAGGUGCGGGCGGGGAAGGUUCCGCUUCCGGUUUGGCGUCACGUGGGCGCAGACGGAGCUCCGGCUGUGCCGCGCCCAUGGCUCCCAGUACCACCAGUGCCACCACUGCUCCCAGUGCUCCCAGUACCACCAGUGCCUCCCACCCCCCCCGACCCCCGGCUCACACCACCCUUUCCCAGCGGCUGCAGUUCACCCCAUUGGCUCCCAGUUCCCCCCCCCGCUCCCAGUUUCCCCAGUAGGCCUCACUUCCC
ensembl:lncRNA